UACGCAGGGCGCAAGCGUUGUCCGGAAUUAUUGGGCGUAAAGAGUUCGUAGGCGGCCUGUUGCGUCCGCUGUGAAAUCCCGGGGCUUAACCCCGGGCUUGCAGUGGAUACGGGCAGGCUGGAGGCAGGCAGGGGAGAACGGAAUUCCCGGUGUAGCGGUGAAAUGCGCAGAUAUCGGGAGGAACACCGGUGGCGAAGGCGGUUCUCUGGGCCUGUACUGACGCUGAGGAGCGAAAGCGUGGGGAGCGAACAGG
rnacentral:rRNA from 1 species